ACGUGAUCUGAGUUCAGACCGGAGUAAUCCAGGUCAGUUUCUAUCUAUAGUAGAGCUUUCUCUAGUACGAAAGGACCGAAAAAGCGUAGCCUAUGUUACAUGCAAGCUAUCACUAAUAACUUAUGUAUAAAACUUAAUAAGUAUUUGACCUAUAACUUACCUCAAGAAAAGAGA
rnacentral:rRNA from 1 species